CAGAGCAGAGACAGGACUGCA
rnacentral:misc_RNA from 1 species